GCUUGGCUGGGCUGGUGGCCUGUCUGUAAUCUCAGCACAUAGGAGGUAAAAGGGUAAAGGCAGGGGACCCCCUGGUUGGGAUGACUGUCUCUACCUAGUUGAACUGACUUUAAAAAGAAGGCAAAUCUAGCUAAAAUAUUUUGAAUGAGAAAAAAAAAAAGCCAAAAGCAGCACGGAACCUGAGACAUUUUUAUCGCACCCUCCACUGUUUCCUCUGAAAAGAUGUAAAGAGGUCCUCCGUAUCCAAGUUCAGUGGCUGUGUGUUGGAAAAUGGCCAUCGAUCUGGUGGGAACCAGUGAUCCUCAAGCUCACAUAGCAGUUAUAGAAGAAGAGAACACAGAAUAUUGGUCUAUUGGUUUUGACACUUCAGUGAAAAUCAUGAGUGGCUGUGGAGAAUCCAAAAGACGAGGGCUGCUUCUCUCCCAGCCAGGCUCUCUGCACAGCAAACACUUGGUAUCUAUGUAUUUAUUACAUUAGUUCGAAAAGAAGAUAGUCAACAAACAGCUUUUUGACUUGUAUCCACCAAGGCCACGUUUACAUAAUCUUGUUUGACCUAAUGAUUAUAAAAAUAGAAUUGAUUAAAGCUAGGUGUUUUACAAUCAUGCAA